rnacentral:rRNA from 1 species
AUUGAACGCUGGCGGAAUGCUUUACACAUGCAAGUCGAACGGCAGCACGGACUUCGGUCUGGUGGCGAGUGGCGAACGGGUGAGUAAUGUAUCGGAACGUGCCCAGUCGUGGGGGAUAACGUAGUGAAAAUUACGCUAAUACCGCAUACGAUCUAUGGAUGAAAGCGGGGGAUCGCAAGACCUCGCGCGAUUGGAGCGGCCGAUAUCAGAUUAGGUAGUUGGUGGGGUAAAGGCCCACCAAGCCAACGAUCUGUAGCUGGUCUGAGAGGACGACCAGCCAAAAGGGAACUGAGACACGGUCCAGACUCCUACGGGAGGCAGCAGUGGGGAAUUUUGGACAAUGGGCGCAAGCCUGAUCCAGCCAUUCCGCGUGCAGGAUGAAGGCCCUCGGGUUGUAAACUGCUUUUGUACAGAACGAAAAGGUUUCUACUAAUACUAGGAGCUCAUGACGGUACUGUAAGAAUAAGCACCGGCUAACUACGUGCCAGCAGCCGCCGUAACAC